AUUGAACGCUGGCGGCAUGCCUUACACAUGCAAGUCGAACGGCAGCGCGGGAGCAAUCCUGGCGGCGAGUGGCGAACGGGUGAGUAAUAUAUCGGAACGUGCCCAGUAGUGGGGGAUAGCCCGGCGAAAGCCGGAUUAAUACCGCAUACGACCUGAGGGUGAAAGGGGGGGAUCGCAAGACCUCUCGCUAUUGGAGCGGCCGAUAUCAGAUUAGGUAGUUGGUGGGGUAAAGGCCUACCAAGCCUGCGAUCUGUAGUUGGUCUGAGAGGACGACCAGCCACACUGGGACUGAGACACGGCCCAGACUCCUACGGGAGGCAGCAGUGGGGAAUUUUGGACAAUGGGCGCAAGCCUGAUCCAGCAAUGCCGCGUGCAGGAAGAAGGCCUUCGGGUUGUAAACUGCUUUUGUCAGGGAAGAAAUCCUCUAGGCUAAUACCUUGGGGGGAUGACGGUACCUGAAGAAUAAGCACCGGCUAACUACGUGCCAGCAGCCGCGGUAAAAC
rnacentral:rRNA from 1 species